rnacentral:rRNA from 1 species
GACGAACGCUGGCGGCGUGCCUAAUACAUGCAAGUAGAACGCUGAAGGAGGAGCUUGCUUCUCUGGAUGAGUUGCGAACGGGUGAGUAACGCGUAGGUAACCUGCCUGGUAGCGGGGGAUAACUAUUGGAAACGAUAGCUAAUACCGCAUAAGAGUAGAUGUUGCAUGACAUUUGCUUAAAAGGUGCAAUUGCAUCACUACCAGAUGGACCUGCGUUGUAUUAGCUAGUUGGUGGGGUAACGGCUCACCAAGGCGACGAUACAUAGCCGACCUGAGAGGGUGAUCGGCCACACUGGGACUGAGACACGGCCCAGACUCCUACGGGAGGCAGCAGUAGGGAAUCUUCGGCAAUGGACGGAAGUCUGACCGAGCAACGCCGCGUGAGUGAAGAAGGUUUUCGGAUCGUAAAGCUCUGUUGUAAGAGAAGAACGAGUGUGAGAGUGGAAAGUUCACACUGUGACGGUAUCUUACCAGAAAGGGGCGGCUAACUACGUG